rnacentral:ribozyme from 12 species
GUAAAUUCAAUGCCACCAUACCAAAUAUUGCAACCAAAAAAAGUCCAGAAUCACUUGAAGAAGAGAUCUACUUCGUUUUAUAGUAGUUUUUCUGGAUGCAAUGUGGUUCUUUUUUUUUUUUUCUUUCUUUUUUUUUCU